rnacentral:rRNA from 1 species
UACGUAGGUGGCAAGCGUUGUCCGGAUUUACUGGGCGUAAAGAGCGCGCAGGCGGUCGGAUUAGUCGCGUGUGAAAGCCCCCGGCUCAACUGGGGAGGGUCACGCGAUACUGUUCGACUCGAAGGCAGGAGAGGGAAGUGGAAUUCCCGGUGUAGUGGUGAAAUGCGUAGAUAUCGGGAGGAACAUCAGUGGCGAAGGCGGCUGCCUGGCCCAAUACUGACACUCAGGUGCGACAGCGUGGGGAGCAAACAGG